GUGAACUACAUGUUCAUGCAAAAGAAAUCCGUCUUUUUCAGAACCCUUUUGUUGCCGACAUCGAUGAAGCCCAGCCUUCGUAUCAGUUUGAGCUGGCCGAGUUACAGAACUGUGAUGUUCUGAAAGACGCAUUCAAGCCCAACAGUCUCAUUGACUUCUAUGCCGCCCUCCCAAAUGACACCUACCCUAACAUAAAACAACACGCAAUGAAGAUGUCCACACUUUUUGGCAGCACGUAUAUCUGCAAGCAAACCUUUUCACGCAUGAAACUCCUGAAAACUCCAACGAGAUCAAGAUUGACAGAUGAACAUUUGCAUCAGUGUUUGAGACUGGCUGUGACUAGAAUGGAACCGGACAUUCAACUUCUCUCCAGCCAGAUGCAGGCCCACAGUUCACACUGAUGAACACAUAGUACAUAGAGGGAAGUUGAUGAGAGGGAGCCUACAGUGGUGUCUACUGGGCUAGCCUAUGGAACCUACAAAGAACACAAGAACUUUGAGAGACAUUUGAGAUUCUGCUGUGACAAGUGAAGUUUACCUUUUAUCUAGGAUUGUGCAUGGCACAGCAUAACUUUCUUUCUGUGAAGAACCCAGAGAGGGUUAUUUGAUCUCAGAAAGGGUUAUUAAUAUUUGGAUAUGUGUGGUGCGCUGGAGUGUCAGCAUGUUUUCUGGAAAACAAUAAAUGAUUACAUUUAGGGA